rnacentral:lncRNA from 10 species
AAAAACAGGCGGCGUAGCAGGUGGGCAGCACGUUGCCAUGAUGUGCCGUGGCCCGGCCGUGGCUGGCGUGAUCCCACCAGAGUGAGCUGGAGCAGAUCUGCACCAUGGGCCAAGUUUCUCAGAAAAUACAUGGCUUCCUGCGGGCUGCAGCCUAAUGCCCACGUUCCUCUCGGGGCAGACCGAAGGUUAUUCAACCAGGGCAAAGGACAGCCUUGCAAACCAACUACGUCCUCCUUCUGGAGUUUGUGUGACCCCUGGCCCCUGAGCCCACACCCUCUCGGAGCGGGGUUCCAACUCCGUGGAAGCUCUGCUGAGAUGCAGGUCCCUCCCUCGACACCUGGGGAUUACAAUUAGAGAUGCGAUUUGGAUGGGGACACCGAGAGAAACCAUGACAGGGGCUCUCCAGAGAAGCAGCCCAGCCUUGGGCAACUUAGUUCUCCCAUCUGACCAUCCAACCCAAUAAGGCUGCUGACUCACAUAGGACCAGUUUCCUUCUCUGCGGCAGAGUGAGAGCAACAGAAAACCCUCCACUGUUAGCUGUUAGCAGAUGCCUCUCAGUGUUCUCUGCUGCUUGGAGGAGUGACCCAUACACUUGUGUCCAGUGAGUGCUGCACCAUGUUGGCCUCUUAAGGAAGCGCUUCGCUUCAGUGCUGUCCAGGACUUCCCACUUUCCUUUACAAGAACUGCGAUUACAUCAGUGGCCCCCGUUAGGGGACUGGGCUACUGUAAUGUGUUUUAAAAAUUAGGUGCCAAGAACAUGUACAAGAAUGUUCACAGCAGCAUUACUCUUAAGAGCCAAGGUGGAAACAAUGCAAACAUCUUUUUUUUUUUUUUUUUCUGAGACAGGGUCUGGCUCUGUCGCCCAGGCUGGAGUGCAGUGGCGCGAUCUCAGCUCACUGCAACCUCCGCCUCCUGGGUUCAAGCAAUUCUCCUGCCUCAGCCUCCCGAGUAGCUCGGACUACAGGCACCCGCCACCAUGCCCAGCUAAUUUUGUAUUUUUAGCAGAGACAGUUUCACCAUGUUGGCCAGGCUGGUCUCAAACUCCUGACCUCAGGUGAUCCACCCACCUCAGCCUCCCAAAGUGCUGGGACUACAGGUGUGAGCCACUGCACCUGGCCUGAAACAAUGCAAACAUCAACUAAUCAAUGGAUAAAAAAAAAUACAUCCACACAAUGGACUAUUACUCUACAAUGAAAAGGAAUACAUUUCUGAUACAUGCUACAACCUGAAUGAACCUUGAAAACAUUAUGUGAAAGAAUCCAGAGCCACAAAAGGUGACACAUUAUGUGAUUCCAUUUAUUGGAAGUGUCCAGAAUAGACAAAUCCAUAAAGACAGAAAGUUUCAUGGGAAUGAAAGGAGUUGGGGUGAAUGGGGGUACAUUUUAAUUUUUUUGAGCUGGAGUCUCACUCUGUUGUCCAGGCUGGAGUGCAGUGGUGCAAUCUUGGCUCACUGCAACUUUCACCUCCUGGGUCAAGUGAUUCUCCUGCCUCAGCCUCCUAAGUAGCUGCAAUUAUAGGUGUGCACCACCACACCCAGCUAAUUUUUGUAUUUUUAUUAGAGACAGGGUUUUGCUGUAUUGGCCAGCAUGGUCUUGAACUCCUGACCUCAAGUGAUCAGCCUGCCUCGGCCUCCCGAAGUGCUGCGAUUACAGGCAUGAGCCACCACACCCGGCCAGGGGGUACACUUUAAAUGGCUGAAUUGAAUGAAGUGUGUUAUAUCUCAAUAAAGCUGUUUUUAAAAAAAGUUAAGAUGCCAGGUUUCUGACCCCACAGUGGCAGGCAACGACCCUGUUCUGUGAGCAUCCGGGAUUAUUUUUGGUAUGGCAGCUGCCCAGGAUUUUUGUGCAGAGCCUUCAUACCUGUCACUGAUGGAGGCUCUCCGAAGUUCAAGCCAAAGCUGGGAUCCGCCUACAAACUGUUUUACAGUUUUCCUUCUUCUCCAAGGUGCAGUGAAAGCGAAGGAACGCUGCUGGACAUGGUGAGACAUGGAGGACUUUGUAAGGGAUAACCUUUGGUUCCCUGAUUUUUUGACAUGAAUCUAACGCUCUGCACCUUCCUCCUUCUUCUUGACAGUGACAUUCAUAAAGGCCAGAAGCUCGGUGUUUUUGUUUCUGUUGUCUGUAUUCUGUAUUCUGUUCCACUAGUCCAUCUGUCCAUCCUUGUACCAAUACUUCACUGUCUUCACAUUACAGUAACUUUUUAGUCUUGGUUCCUGGUAGGAUAAGUCGGAGGUUUGUUGUUCUUCAAGAUCACCUUGGAUAUUCUAGGUCCUUUACAUUUCCAUAUAACAUUUUAGAAACAGCUUGCCAUUUUUCCACCCACAAAAACCAUGCUGGGAUUUGGUUGAGAUGACUUUGACACCACACAUCAGUUUGGGAAGAACCAACAACUUUAUAAUACUGAGUCUUCCAAUGCAUAUACAUAGUAUAUCCCUCCAUUUAGUUACAUUUUGUUAGACUUAUUUCUAAGUAUUUGAUGCUUUUUGAUGCUAUCAUAAAUUAUAUUGUUUUGGCAAUUUCAUUUUCUAUUUGUAGCUGUUAGGUAUAAAUACAGUUUAUUUUUCUGUGUUCACCUGAUACUCAGUGACCUUGCUAAACUAACUUAUUAAUUCUAAUGGUUUAUACAUUUAAAAAUUUACUGUAUAUUCCAUCAAGUUGUCUGGAAAUAAUAAAAGUUUUAUUUCUUCCUUUCCAAUCUAUGCUUUGGUUUGUUUUUUGAGACCGGUCUCAUACUGUCGCUCAGGCUGGAGUGCAGUGUCAGAUCUCCGCUCACCACAACCUCCACCUCCUGGGCUCAAGCGAUCCUCCUGCCUCAGCCUCCUGAGCAGCGGGGACUCCAGGAGUAUGCCACCAAACCCGGCUAAUUUUCGUAUCUCUUUUGGUACAGACAGGGUUUCACCAUGUUGCCCAGGCUGAUGUUGAACUCCUGGGCUCAAGCAAUCUGCUUGCCUAGGCCUCCCAAAGUGCAAGGAUUACAGGCAUGAGCCGCCACGCCCAGCCAAAAAAAAAAAAUUUUUUUUUUAAAGCUUUUCUCAAGUGGUUUUUGUUGUUGUUGUUGUUUGUUUUAGACAGGGCCUCACUCUGUCACCCAGACUGGAGUGCAGUAGCAUGAUCACAGAUCACCCCAGGCUCAGGUGAUCCUCUUACCUGAGUCUCCCAAGUAGCUUGGACUACAGGGAUGCACCACCACACCUGGCUAAUUUUUGUAUUUUUGGUAAAGAUGAGGUUUCACCAUAUUGCUCAGGCUGUGGAGUUCACGGAACAUUGUAGCCUCAACCUCCAGGGCUCCAGCGAUCCUCCCACCUCAGCUUCCUGAGUAGCUGGGACUACAGGCGCAAACCACCACGCCCAAUUAAAAAAGUUUUUUUUUUGUAGAGAUUGGGGGUGGGUCUUGCUAUGCUGCCCAGGCUGGUGUUUCAUUUUAAAAAAUCCAAUCUGACUUUUAUUUGAGGUAUUAGUCUGUUCUUGCAUUGCUAUAAGGAACUACCUGAGACUGGGUAAUUUAUGAAGAAAAGAGGUUUAAUUGACUCACAGUUCUGCAGGCUGUACAGGAAGUGUGGCUGCGGAAGCCUCAGGAAACUUACAAUCAUGGGGGAAGGCGAAAGGGAAGCAGGGAAAUCUUCCAUGGCAGAGCAGGAGAUAGAGAAGGGAGAAGAGUUACAUGCUUUUAAGCAACCAAGUUUUGUGAGAACUCACUAUCAAGAGGACAGCAAGGGGGAAGUCCGCCCUCAUGAUCCAAUCACCUCCCCCCUGGCCUCUCCUCCAAUAAUGGGGAACACAACUCGACAUGAGAUUUGGGUGGAGAUACAGAGCCAAACCAUAUAAAGGCGUUUAGACCAUUUACAGUACAGUUGUUGACAUGGUUUGGUCUAUGUCUUUCUGAUGGAUUGACUCCUUUAUAUUAUUAAGUAUACAUCUUUAAUAAUGUUUUCUGGUCUUAAAGUCUACUUUGUCUGAUAUAGUAUAGCUACAUAAACUGAUAUCUUUAUUUUUAUUUAUUUAUUUUUAUUCAAACAGAGUUUCACUCUGUCUCCCAGGCUGGAGUGCAGUGGCAUGAUCUCGGCUCACUGCAACUUCCGCCUCCUGGGUUCAAGCGACUCUACUGCCUCAGCCUCCUGAGUAGCUGGG